rnacentral:lncRNA from 1 species
CAAUCUUUUAUUUCUUUGUAAGUCUGUUAAUCUUCUGUAUCGAAUGAACUCUGUAGAAUCUUCCAUCAAAGUUUGCAGAUCAGAUGAAAAGUCUCUUUCCAACAGUUGAUGUCCAGUUGUCUGAAGGAAUGCUUUCCUGAUUUAUUGCCACAAGGAUCUGUCACGCUUAACCUACAUUAAAACAAAAAACAUGUGCAGCAUCAAUGGCUUACAAUGUUUAUAUAUCAUUAUAAUUAUACAG